rnacentral:SRP_RNA from 1 species
GCCGGGCACGGUGGUGCAUGCCUGUAGUCCCAGCUACUCAGGAGGCUGAGGUGGGAAGAUCACUUGAGCCCAGGAGUUCUGGGCUGUAGUGCGCUUUGCCAAUCGGGUGUCCUCACUAAGUUUGGCGUCAAUAUAGUGACCUCCCAGGAGUGGGGGACCACCAGGUUGCCUAAGGAGGGGUGAACUGGCCCAGGUCAGAAACGGAGCAGGUCAAAACUCUUGUGCUGAUCAGUAGUGGGAUCACACCUGUGAAUAGCCACUGCACUCCAGCCUGGGCAACAUAGCGAGACCCUGUCUCU